UACGUAGGGGGCAAGCGUUGUCCGGAUUUAUUGGGCGUAAAGAGCGUGUAGGCGGCCUGAAAGGUCAGCUGUGAAAACUCGAGGCUCAACCUCGAGACGUCGGUUGAAACCAUCUGGCUAGAGUCCGGAAGAGGAGUGUGGAAUUCCCGGUGUAGCGGUGAAAUGCGCAGAUAUCGGGAAGAACACCCGUGGCGAGGGCGGCACUCUGGGACGGUACUGACGCUGAGACGCGAAAGCGUGGGGAGCGAACAGG
rnacentral:rRNA from 1 species